GGUAUUAUUGUUGUUUGUUAAAAUAUUGUGAGUGCUCUAAAAAUGCAAGCAAAUGAAUAUUCAAGAUAUUAUAUUCUAAAAGAUAUUAGUGGAUGCAGAUAAGAGUGUUUAGUGAGUGCUAUGUUUGAAUAUUGCAAGUGAAAACACAGCCUAUCGAUGUAAUGCGCCGAUAAACAAUCAUGACUGCAUUGAUGUAAUGCGCUAAAAAACUGCAAUGGCUCCGAAUACAUGAUUACCAGAUAACAAAUCCUGGCGCAGCUUACGUGUGUGCUUCUAUAACGUCGCAAGCUACAGUGGCUGUUCAUAAUUUUUGCAAGUUCUACACCUACAGGAUUCAGUUAUCUGGGCAUUAUAGAUACCCUUUUAUCACCUACGAAGUUAUUUAGGUAUAUUUAUUAAAACCAUUAAAUAUUGAGCAACGUCAAUAAUAUAUUAUUACUUAGCAAUUAACCAACUGUGAUUAUUGUAAAAUAAGCUAAUUAUUCUAACGCUAAGGAAUAAUAUAUAAAUUUGUGUAUAAAGUUGUUGGGGAAAAAUAUGUUUAUAAUAGAUAAAUAAUAAUAUUACCAAAUAUUAGGAGCUCUGAAUUAUGACUUUAGAAUA